rnacentral:rRNA from 1 species
ACGCAGCUAACGCAUUAAGCACCCCGCCUGGGGAGUACGGUCGCAAGACUAAAACUCAAAGGAAUUGACGGGGGCCCGCACAAGCGGCGGAGCAUGCGGAUUAAUUCGAUGCAACGCGAAGAACCUUACCAAGGCUUGACAUAUAGAGGAAAAGCGUAGAAAUACGCUCCCCGCAAGGUCUCUAUACAGGUGGUGCAUGGUUGUCGUCAGCUCGUGUCGUGAGAUGUUGGGUUAAGUCCCGCAACGAGCGCAACCCUCGUCCUAUGUUGCCAGCACGUAAUGGUGGGAACUCAUGGGAGACUGCCGGGGUCAACUCGGAGGAAGGUGGGGAUGACGUCAAAUCAUCAUGCCCCUUAUGUCUUGGGCUUCACGCAUGCUACAAUGGCCGGUACAGAGGGCUGCAAUACCGCAAGGUGGAGCGAAUCCCAAAAAGCCGGUCUCAGUUCGGAUUGAGGUCUGCAACUCGACCUCAUGAAGUCGGAGUCGCUAGUAAUCGCAGAUCAGCAACGCUGCGGUGAAUACGUUCCCGGGCCUUGUACACACCGCCCGUCAAGUCACGAAAGUCGGUAACACCCGAAGCCGGUGGCCUAACCGUAAGGAAGGAGCCGUCGAAGGUGGGAUCGGUGAUUGGGACUAAGUCGUAACAAGUACC